rnacentral:rRNA from 1 species
UAAGCGACUAAGCGUACACGGUGGAUGCCCUGGCAGUCAGAGGCGAUGAAGGACGUGCUAAUCUGCGAUAAGCGUCGGUAAGGUGAUAUGAACCGUUAUAACCGGCGAUUUCCGAAUGGGGAAACCCAGUGUGAUUCGUCACACUAUCAUUAACUGAAUCCAUAGGUUAAUGAGGCGAACCGGGGGAACUGAAACAUCUAAGUACCCCGAGGAAAAGAAAUCAACCGAGAUUCCCCCAGUAGCGGCGAGCGAACGGGGAGCAGCCCAGAGCCUGAAUCAGUGUGUGUGUUAGUGGAAGCGUCUGGAAAGGCGUGCGAUACAGGGUGACAGCCCCGUACACAAAAAUGCACAUACUGUGAGCUCGAUGAGUAGGGCGGGACACGUGGUAUCCUGUCUGAAUAUGGGGGGACCAUCCUCCAAGGCUAAAUACUCCUGACUGACCGAUAGUGAACCAGUACCGUGAGGGAAAGGCGAAAAGAACCCCGGCGAGGGGAGUGAAAAAGAACCUGAAACCGUGUACGUACAAGCAGUGGGAGCACGCUUAGGCGUGUGACUGCGUACCUUUUGUAUAAUGGGUCAGCGACUUAUAUUCUGUAGCAAGGUUAACCGAAUAGGGGAGCCGAAGGGAAACCGAGUCUUAACUGGGCGUUAAGUUGCAGGGUAUAGACCCGAAACCCGGUGAUCUAGCCAUGGGCAGGUUGAAGGUUGGGUAACACUAACUGGAGGACCGAACCGACUAAUGUUGAAAAAUUAGCGGAUGACUUGUGGCUGGGGGUGAAAGGCCAAUCAAACCGGGAGAUAGCUGGUUCUCCCCGAAAGCUAUUUAGGUAGCGCCUCGUGAAUUCAUCUCCGGGGGUAGAGCACUGUUUCGGCAAGGGGGUCAUCCCGACUUACCAACCCGAUGCAAACUGCGAAUACCGGAGAAUGUUAUCACGGGAGACACACGGCGGGUGCUAACGUCCGUCGUGAAGAGGGAAACAACCCAGACCGCCAGCUAAGGUCCCAAAGUCAUGGUUAAGUGGGAAACGAUGUGGGAAGGCCCAGACAGCCAGGAUGUUGGCUUAGAAGCAGCCAUCAUUUAAAGAAAGCGUAAUAGCUCACUGGUCGAGUCGGCCUGCGCGGAAGAUGUAACGGGGCUAAACCAUGCACCGAAGCUGCGGCAGCGACGCUUAUGCGUUGUUGGGUAGGGGAGCGUUCUGUAAGCCUGUGAAGGUGUGCUGUGAGGUAUGCUGGAGGUAUCAGAAGUGCGAAUGCUGACAUAAGUAACGAUAAAGCGGGUGAAAAGCCCGCUCGCCGGAAGACCAAGGGUUCCUGUCCAACGUUAAUCGGGGCAGGGUGAGUCGACCCCUAAGGCGAGGCCGAAAGGCGUAGUCGAUGGGAAACAGGUUAAUAUUCCUGUACUUGGUGUUACUGCGAAGGGGGGACGGAGAAGGCUAUGUUGGCCGGGCGACGGUUGUCCCGGUUUAAGCGUGUAGGCUGGUUUUCCAGGCAAAUCCGGAAAAUCAAGGCCGAGGCGUGAUGACGAGGCACUACGGUGCUGAAGCAACAAAUGCCCUGCUUCCAGGAAAAGCCUCUAAGCAUCAGGUAACAUCAAAUCGUACCCCAAACCGACACAGGUGGUCAGGUAGAGAAUACCAAGGCGCUUGAGAGAACUCGGGUGAAGGAACUAGGCAAAAUGGUGCCGUAACUUCGGGAGAAGGCACGCUGAUACGUAGGUGAAGCGACUUGCUCGUGGAGCUGAAAUCAGUCGAAGAUACCAGCUGGCUGCAACUGUUUAUUAAAAACACAGCACUGUGCAAACACGAAAGUGGACGUAUACGGUGUGACGCCUGCCCGGUGCCGGAAGGUUAAUUGAUGGGGUUAGCGCAAGCGAAGCUCUUGAUCGAAGCCCCGGUAAACGGCGGCCGUAACUAUAACGGUCCUAAGGUAGCGAAAUUCCUUGUCGGGUAAGUUCCGACCUGCACGAAUGGCGUAAUGAUGGCCAGGCUGUCUCCACCCGAGACUCAGUGAAAUUGAACUCGCUGUGAAGAUGCAGUGUACCCGCGGCAAGACGGAAAGACCCCGUGAACCUUUACUAUAGCUUGACACUGAACAUUGAGCCUUGAUGUGUAGGAUAGGUGGGAGGCUUUGAAGUGUGGACGCCAGUCUGCAUGGAGCCGACCUUGAAAUACCACCCUUUAAUGUUUGAUGUUCUAACGUGGACCCGUGAUCCGGGUUGCGGACAGUGUCUGGUGGGUAGUUUGACUGGGGCGGUCUCCUCCUAAAGAGUAACGGAGGAGCACGAAGGUUGGCUAAUCCUGGUCGGACAUCAGGAGGUUAGUGCAAUGGCAUAAGCCAGCUUGACUGCGAGCGUGACGGCGCGAGCAGGUGCGAAAGCAGGUCAUAGUGAUCCGGUGGUUCUGAAUGGAAGGGCCAUCGCUCAACGGAUAAAAGGUACUCCGGGGAUAACAGGCUGAUACCGCCCAAGAGUUCAUAUCGACGGCGGUGUUUGGCACCUCGAUGUCGGCUCAUCACAUCCUGGGGCUGAAGUAGGUCCCAAGGGUAUGGCUGUUCGCCAUUUAAAGUGGUACGCGAGCUGGGUUUAGAACGUCGUGAGACAGUUCGGUCCCUAUCUGCCGUGGGCGCUGGAGAACUGAGGGGGGCUGCUCCUAGUACGAGAGGACCGGAGUGGACGCAUCACUGGUGUUCGGGUUGUCAUGCCAAUGGCACUGCCCGGUAGCUAAAUGCGGAAGAGAUAAGUGCUGAAAGCAUCUAAGCACGAAACUUGCCCCGAGAUGAGUUCUCCCUGACCCUUUAAGGGUCCUGAAGGAACGUUGAAGACGACGACGUUGAUAGGCCGGGUGUGUAAGCGCAGCGAUGCGUUGAGCUAACCGGUACUAAUGAACCGUGAGGCUUAACCU